UUCUCUCAAACCUUAGCUUUCCAAUUUCUUUCCCUCUUAGCACCAUUUCUGCAAAGACAUGUUGUGGUUAGAGCGAUUGCCUUUACAGAACUCGAGCUUUUCCCAUCCCAAGUGCAAGCCAGGCUGAAAAUGGAGAGCUAAUAAAAACCUUGUUCCAAAUUCAGGUUGUGAUCUGGAUGUCAGCUGUUGGAACUAAAGGGCAUUUAAGUUCCUGUUAAGAAGUCAGACUUUUCACUGAAAGCAGUGAGAUCAGGAGGGUCAGUUUGAUGGGAACUGCAAUUUGCUUCAAACCGACGAGAAGUUCUAGCAAAAACUGAAAAAGUCAUCUUCGAAAGCAACAAAUAAAUUUCCCUGGCUCUAAACAAGCAUUUUAGAACCCCCAGCAGGAUUUUGAUGUUAGCUUAUGGAAAAGUAAAUGUUUGCUCAGCUCCAUCUUCAAACACUUUCAGCAUUUUGACCACUGUGUGUAGCACUCAUCUGAAAUCGUUCCGUGCUACUUUUAACUACUCUGCUGCCAUGAUGUAUUGAAAUGAAUU